UCCUCGCUCUGAAGCACAAGCUAGCAACGGCAGAAAGGAAGUUUUAAAAAAGCUCAUAAACAAGCUGUGUUUGCUCUAAAACGUUAGAGCCUUGGGAAACUUUCGUCUUUCGCUGAUUUGUAUUGAUCCACAGACUCCACUCUCAAAAUGAUGCAAGUUAACGACACGCUACAAAGAGGGUUGCUGGGGUAUGCUGGAGCCUAUCCCAGCUGACUCCAGGCAAGAGGCGGUCGCCAGCCAAUCGCAGGGCAUCAAAUGAAAUAAGGGGGUGAGAAAAUAUGAGCAUUUCUUGGCGGGAAGUGAGGACGUCUCUCAGCACGGAUAAAUAUAUGGAUUAAUCCGUGUUUUCUCAUGCAAACGCUGCCUGGCUGAUGACUGGAGCGAGAGGCGGCGGCUUAACGAGAUCACUAGAGGACGCCUGGUUUGCCCCCGCUGCCCAUUCACAGAGUGUGAGCAGCACACACACUCAUGUGUGAAAUGGACUCUUCAUACGCUUUAAGGGCUGUAUCUUAAUCCCCCACCCUCUGGAUUCCUUUUUGGGGGGGAAUGGUGAGGGGUGGUGCAGGGGGCGUGGCCAGUGAAUCCCCUGACAGAGGUUGUGUAUCUGCUGGGAUGGAGGUGAUGAUUUCAUUAAGGACGCUCGGCUGACCCACAAUGGCUGCACGGUAGUUUUGUGGUGUUUGUCAAAGUGUAGCUUGCACAUAAUCUUCAUCUCACAGACUGACCCUCCAGUAUGACCCCUCUUCUUUUUAAGAAUGAGCCACUGUUCAUAGUAGACGGUACCAAUAAUAAAUGGGUCUAUGCUAACAAGUAAGGAUGUGUAGGCUAUAAUUGAUGUGGGAGUCUAACUGCUUUGCCUUUAUUAGGUGUACAGACCAUG